rnacentral:lncRNA from 1 species
ACAGGGUCAUUCCAUAUGUAAAAGGAGCGGGAGGUGACUUGGGAGCCGGAGACAGUGAUGCGGGAGUCCUGUCCCUACCUGUUUGAGUCUCAGGAUUGAGGUAUGUCUUAAGUUUCGAGGACGAAACUUUUUGUAGUGGGGGAGGAUAUAGUGUUCCGAAGUUUUGGAUAGGAUUUGCUACAGUAUUAGUGACUAGUCGGCACCUCUGGAAAG